rnacentral:rRNA from 1 species
CCUACGGGUGGCAGCAGUGGGGAAUAUUGGGCAAUGGGCGCAAGCCUGACCCAGCAACGCCGCGUGAAGGAAGAAGGCUUUCGGGUUGUAAACUUCUUUUCUGAGGGACGAAGCAAGUGACGGUACCUCAGGAAUAAGCCACGGCUAACUACGUGCCAACAGCCGCGGUAAUACGUAGGUGGCAAGCGUUAACCGGAUUUAUUGGGUGUAAAGGGCGUGUAGGCGGGAAAGCAAGUCAGAUGUGAAAACUGAGGGCUCAACCCUGAGCCUGCAUUUGAAACUGUUGUUCUUGAGAGCUGGAGAGGCAAUCGGAAUGCCGUGUGUAGCGGUGAAAUGCGUAGAUAUACGGAGGAACACCAGUGGCGAAGGCGGAUUGCUGGACAGUAACUGACGCUGAGGCGCGAAAGCGUGGGGAGCAAACAGGAUUAGAUACCCCUGUAGUC